GACGAACGCUGGCGGCGCGCUUAACACAUGCAAGUCGAGCGAAGCGGCGGACGGGUGAGUAACACGUGAGUAACCUGCCUUAGACAUUGGGAUAGCCUCGGGAAACCGGGAUUAAUACCAAAUGGUCUAAGAUGGACUCGCGUCCCAUUAGCUAGUUGGUGGGUAACGGCCCACCAAGGCGACGAUGGGUAGCCGGCCGGGGAGGGUGAACGGCCACAUUGGAACUGGGAAACGGGCCAAACUCUACGGGAGGCAGCAGUGGGGAAUAUUGCACAAUGGAGUGAACUAUGAUGCAGCGAGGCCGCGUGAACGAAGAAGGCGUUCGAGACGUAAAGUUCGUUUAUAUGGGAAGCGGUACCAUAAGAAAAAGCACCGGCUAACUACGUGCCAGCAGCCGCGGUAAUAC
rnacentral:rRNA from 1 species